rnacentral:rRNA from 1 species
GACGAACGCUGGCGGCGUGCCUAAUACAUGCAAGUAGGACGCAGUUGCGAACGGGAGAGUAACGCGUAGGUAACUACCUAUUAGAGGGGGAUAACUAUUGGAAACGAUAGCUAAUACCGCAUACUAGUAGAUGGACCUGCGUUGUAUUAGCUAGUAGGUAGGGUAAUGGCCUACCUAGGCAACGAUACAUAGCCGACCUGAGAGGGUGAUCGGUCACACUGGGACUGGGGAACGGCCCAGACUCCUACGGGAAGCAGCAGUAGGGAAUCUUCGGAAAUGGGGGGAACCCUGGCCGAGGAACGCCGGGGGAGUGAAGGAGGUUUUCGGGUCGUAAAGCUCUGUUGUUAAGGGAGCGGUACUUAACCAGAAAGGGACGGCUAACUACGUGCCAGCAGCCGCGGUAAUAC